CGCAGACGUGGAACUUGUGACACACGAAGAUGCUGUAGCUGCCACGUCUGAAGAAAAGAACCACAUGCACAUCGGUACAUUGAACUCUUCUUGAAUUCUACUCCUGGAGGCGGCUCUGGAAUGGGAGGUUCUGGAGUGAGAGGCUAUGGCAGAGUUGGAGUGGGUCAUCGGGGAGGUCGGAAGAGCGUGUGUAG